rnacentral:rRNA from 1 species
AGAGUUUGAUCAUGGCUCAGAUUGAACGCUGGCGGUAUGCCUUACACAUGCAAGUCGAACGGUAGAGGGGCAACCCUUGAGAGUGGCGAACGGGUGAGUAAUACAUCGGAACGUGCCCAGUCGUGGGGGAUAACGUAGCGAAAGCUACGCUAAUACCGCAUACGACCUGAGGGUGAAAGCGGGGGAUCGCAAGACCUCGCGCGAUUGGAGCGGCCGAUGGCAGAUUAGGUAGUUGGUGGGGUAAAGGCCUACCAAGCCUGCGAUCUGUAGCUGGUCUGAGAGGACGACCAGCCACACUGGGACUGAGACACGGCCCAAACUCCUACGGGAGGCAGCAGUGGGGAAUAUUGCACAAUGGGCGAAAGCCUGAUGCAGCGACGCCGCGUGAGCGAAGAAGUAUUUCGGUAUGUAAAGCUCUAUCAGCAGGGAAGAAAAUGACGGUACCUGACUAAGAAGCCCCGGCUAACUACGUGCCAGCAGCCGCGGUAAUACGUAGGGGGCAAGCGUUAUCCGGAUUUACUGGGUGUAAAGGGAGCGUAGGCGGCAAGGCAAGUCUGAUGUGAAAACCCGGGGCUCAACCCCGGGACUGCAUUGGAAACUGCUUAGCUAGAGUGUCGGAGAGGUAAGUGGAAUUCCUAGUGUAGCGGUGAAAUGCGUAGAUAUUAGGAGGAACACCAGUGGCGAAGGCGACUUACUGGACGAUAACUGACGCUGAGGCUCGAAAGCGUGGGGAGCAAACAGGAUUAGAUACCCCGGUAGU